UUGAGAGUUUGAUCCUGGCUCAGAACGAACGCUGGCGGCAGGCCUAACACAUGCAAGUCGAACGGUAACAGGAAUUAGCUUGCUAAUUUGCUGACGAGUGGCGCACGGGUGCGUAACGCGUAUGCAACUUACCUCUAACAGGAGGAUAGCCUUUCGAAAGGAAGAAUAAUACUCCAUAAUAUUUAUUAGUGGCAUCAUUAAUUUAUUAAAACUACGGUGGUUAGAGAUAGGCAUGCGUCCUAUUAGCUAGUUGGUGAGGUAACAGCUCACCAAGGCGAUGAUAGGUAGGGGGCCUGAGAGGGUUAUCCCCCACACUGGUACUGAGACACGGACCAGACUC
rnacentral:rRNA from 14 species